rnacentral:rRNA from 1 species
GACAGAGGAUGCAAGCGUUAUCCGGAAUGAUUGGGCGUAAAGCGUCUGUAGGUGGCUUUUUAAGUCUGCCGUCAAAUCCCAGGGCUUAACCCUGGACAGGCGGUGGAAACUACCAAGCUGGAGUACGGUAGGGGCAGAGGGAAUUUCCGGUGGAGCGGUGAAAUGCGCAGAUAUCAGGAGGAACACCGGUGGCGAAGGCGGGACUCUGGGCCGAUACUGACGCUGAGGAGCGAAAGCGUGGGGAGCGAACAGG